UGGGGAAUAUUGCACAAUGGGCGCAAGCCUGAUGCAGCCAUGCCGCGUGUAUGAAGAAGGCCUUCGGGUUGUAAAGUACUUUCAGCGAGGAGGAAGGCGUUGUGGUUAAUAACCGCAACGAUUGACGUUACUCGCAGAAGAAGCACCGGCUAACUCCGUGCCAGCAGCCGCGGUAAUACGGAGGGUGCAAGCGUUAAUCGGAAUUACUGGGCGUAAAGCGCACGCAGGCGGUCUGUCAAGUCGGAUGUGAAAUCCCCGGGCUCAACCGGGGAACUGCAUCCGAAACUGGCAGGCUAGAGUCUUGUAGAGGGGGGUAGAAUUCCAGGUGUAGCGGUGAAAUGCGUAGAGAUCUGGAGGCAUACCGGUGGCGAAGGCGGCCCCCUGGACAAAGACUGACGCUCAGGUGCGAAAGCGUGGGGAGCAAACA
rnacentral:rRNA from 1 species